rnacentral:rRNA from 1 species
UACGGAGGGUGCGAGCGUUGUUCGGAAUUACUGGGCGUAAAGCGCGUGCAGGCGGCCGACUAAGUCAGGUGUGAAAGCCCGGGGCUCACCUCCGGAAGUGCGCUUGAAACUGGUCGGCUAGAGUACGGGAGAGGGAAGCGGAAUUCCUGGUGUAGCGGUGAAAUUCGUAGAUAUUGGGAAGAACACCAGUGGCGAAGGCGGCUAACUGGUCCAGCACUGACGCUGAGGUGCGAAAGCGUGGGGAGCAAACAGG